GAUGAACGCUGGCGGCGUGCCUAAUACAUGCAAGUCGAGCGAACGGACGAGAAGCUUGCUUUUCUGAUGUUAGCGGCGGACGGGUGAGUAACACGUGGAUAACCUACCUAUAAGACUGGGAUAACUUCGGGAAACCGGAGCUAAUACCGGAUAAUAUUUUGAACCGCAUGGUUCAAAAGUGAAAUACGGUCUUGCUGUCACUUAUAGAUGGAUCCGCGCUGCAUUAGCUAGUUGGUAAGGUAACGGCUUACCAAGGCAACGAUGCAUAGCCGACCUGAGAGGGUGAUCGGCCACACUGGAACUGAGACACGGUCCAGACUCCUACGGGAGGCAGCAGUAGGGAAUCUUACGCAAUGGGCGAAAGCCUGACGGAGCAACGCCGCGUGAGUGAUGAAGGUCUUCGGAUCGUAAAACUCUGUUAUUAGGGAAGAACAUAUGUGUAAGUAACUCUGCACAGCUUGACGGUACCUAAUGAGAAAGCCACGGCUAACUACGU
rnacentral:rRNA from 1 species